AGCGUUCAGCGUGGCUGAGCGGUCAAAGGCGCUGGAUUUAGGCUCCAGUCUCUUCGGAGGCGUGGGUUCAAAUCCCACCGCUGCCA